UACGAAGGGGGCAAGCGUUGUUCGGAAUUACUGGGCGUAAAGGGCGCGCAGGCGGCUGGUCAAGUCAGAUGUGAAAGCCCCGGGCUCAACCUGGGAAUAGCAUUUGGGACUGGUCGGCUAGAGUUCGGGAGAGGAGAGUGGAAUUCCCAGUGUAGAGGUGAAAUUCGUAGAUAUUGGGAAGAACACCGGUGGCGAAGGCGGCUCUCUGGACCGAUACUGACGCUGAGGCGCGAAAGCGUGGGGAGCAAACAGG
rnacentral:rRNA from 1 species